GGAGCACAGGAGGAGUGAACGUUCCUCCAGUCGGGAGAGAUCUGGUGGAUAUGGUGGAUAUGGUGGAUUCAGUCCAUUUGGCGGAUAUGGACCAUACUACCCCUACAUGCCACAGCCCUCCUACCCAUCGUACUACCCGCCCUCGUCCAACUCGGCCCUCAACGCCCUGCUCCCCUUCCUGCUGCUUCGCCAAUUUUCCUCCCCUGCUGCCGCCCCCGCUGCCGCCCCCACCCCGGCUCCAGCAGGAAAAUAAGACGUCAGACAUGGGCGUGGUCACCACACAGACGGCGACCCGGAGUGUCACAUGAGAGAUCAAUAAAGCUCCCUGAGUCACUGA